GAUCAGCCAUAGAGGGUGGGUAUUGCUGAACAAAGUCCUUUGGAUAGAUUACUUAUUGGCUGCAUGUAUACGUGUGGAUCCACUGAAUACUGAAGGUCAGCCUUUAAACCAGUGCUUGUAGUUCAUUUUUCUUCCUGAUCGAACACAGAGCAACAUGUUUUGAAGGCUCAGCUGUCUGAGAAGGGCACUGCUUCCCAUGAGGAGCCAGCAGGGGAGCACACUUCUGAGGAACCUUAAUGAAGGGAUUUGAGCUGAUUCUCUGCUACAGUUGAACACCAAAAUAUAUUCAUUUGGACAGCAACCGCAACAGCAACGUUCAAGAAUCAGUUACUGUAAGGGACACUGUGAGGAAACAGACCGAUGGAAUUACUCGAGAACCAAAACAUGUCCCAGCCAGAGGUCACCCAGUGGGAGUCAACACCACACCUAUCUUCUGCAGUAAACAACACUAUAAUCGUGCUGGGAGUGUUGACCUUUGCCCUCCAGCUGUGUUUGGUUCUGCUCUUCAUGCUGAGAUGUUGGAGAUUUGACGGCAAAGUAACAGAGGCUCUCAAACAGCCAGAGGCGCUUAACAAAGAUGUUGAGCCCUCAUCUUUUCACCGAGAGAUUUAUAAACAAGCCAGCUAUCAACUCUGUGUCAUUGGUGCUGCUGCUGCUCCACCAUCUGCCGUGUCUGCAGCAGAUGAAGAAUAUGAACCCUUCACAAGCUCCCUGCUAGCACCUUCCAUACCCUGGGACCUCGUUCAGUAAUGAUCUGCUCACAAUUCAGCAAAUCUUCUCACUUCUAAAGUGCGUUUUAGCACCUUUUAGUUCACUGUUUUGGCUUAACAGCCUUUAAUGUUUUGAGUCUCACAGCUGUGUUCAGUUAAAAAGCUCUGAUAAACCCACUUUAAGCUACCAGCACAAAACCAAACAUCAAUAGCCCCUUUCAUAGUGCUGUGAAAAGGGGAUCACUAUAACUGUGUAGCCUAUUAGCACCAUGCUACUGCGUAGCACUGCUCUGUCGCACGUCACUAUCGUCUCCUCCCACCAUCCUUGUUCCGCGACGCCAGACUGCACAAUGAAAGGGCACGAAUAUCACGCCUUUGCGGGAUUACUAUAAACGCCCUAAGGUGAAAAGUCGGUAGAGAUCUUUACGGCAAUAUAUUUUGGUGGUGUUGACAUUUGCAGGACCGCACUGUGAAAGGGGCUUUAGUUUGUUCUCUCCAAACAAGCAGCAACAUCCGGGGGGCUUAAAAAUAUAUAUAUAUAAUUUAAAAAAAUAACCGAAUUAAUUAGAGGCUUUGUAAUUAAUUAAUCGAAAUUAAUCACAUUUUAAUCGCAUAUAAAUAUUUGACCGGAGAACAGUGAGAAGUAAUUUUUUUCACAUGGAUUUUUAGUAUACCAUUGAAUAAUGACUGAAUACAUAAGCUUAAGCAACGAAAAUAUUGUUUAUUUUUGUUCAAAUUCAACAGACCAGUGCAAUUUUUGCCGUUAAGCGUAGCAAUAGCAUAUUUAGAAAUAUAGUACAUUUCAGAAAUUCUAUAACUUGCACACAACCAUGCUCUUAUCGACGCUUCCAUCCGUUGGUUUUUUGUAACAAAAUGUCCCAUCAUCCACGGGGCCAACCAAAGCGCUCUCAUCAGCUUCUUCCUUCAUGUUCACUGUGGUUUGUUGUUGUCUGAACUCAUGAACGCUAGUUGGUGCUCCAGUAUAAUCGGUCCGCCUGAAACUCAUCCAGUGAGAAACGUUCCGCGGUGCAAAAAUAAGUGAGAUUAAAAUGCAUCAAUUUUUUUUAUUUUUGUGUAAUGAAUUAAUCUUAAGUAACGCGUUAAAGGAUAAUGAUAUACAUAACCCUUACACCUCUUUUACUGACAUUAUCAGGCACUUCCAAGAUGGCGAUGGCCAGAGCCACAGGAACCACCUACUUUUAGCUUUUUUGCGGCUUUUUAGAAGCCUCUGUGUGAAGUCACGGUGACUAUCUUCGUAUUUUAUACAAUCUAUGGCUCCAAGCCAGCUGAUUGAAAUACGCCUUAAUCAAAUGUAUUUCUUGCAACAUUUCAAAAGUUUGCUCAGAAUUCAUUUUCCAAUUUAGUGAAAAAACGGCUUCAGUCAGCAGCUGCACGGAAACAAAACUCUAAAUAAACGCUAGAAUUGCUAAGUGUUAAUGGGUGUAGGCAAUAUAUAUGAACUGUCUAAGGUAGUGGUUUUCUGCUUGUUGUGUGGCCCCCAAUUGGCAAAAGAAAUUGUGCAGAAAUGUGAUCUGCACUAAUGUGACACUUACCCCAAACAGCCAUGAAUACCGCAAAGAAAACAGUUGCACCAUUGUCAAAGAGAUGGGUGACCUGAGUAGAAGAACACAAAAUUAAAUUAAUGUUUUACUACACUACGUAUCUAAAUCAAAACCCCAUAGCCAGACUUAACUGAUGGCUCACUCAUCCAGAGUAAAAGUUACACAUUGAGACACUAAAUACAUUCUAAUGAGUACAGAGAGUACUCUGUGAGUACAAUAGCAAGUGAUAACAUCUUUAAGGAAUAGUUUGUUUGGUUGCUAGGGCGACAUUACCUUGGCGUAGAUGCAGCUGUCUGACAGUCUCAGGUACGGGCAGUACUGGUCACAGAUGGGGCACAUGAUGAUGUCAGUGGACUGGCAGAUUUCUUUACUGGAGAACAACAAGUUGGCCAUUAAACUCUGGUAUGGUUUGUUAGGGCAGCAACUAGGGUUGCACAUAAACGAUUCGAUUCGCAUCUAGAUACACAGGUUACGAUACGAUUCAAAAACGAUAUACUUUUUAUUAGAAACUGAUUCGAUUACGAAUCGAUAUAGUGUAAGAACGAUAGGAUUUUAUUUCAUCCUACAGUUAAUAUUUGUUGUAGAUAUUUUAUAAUGUGUCACUCACAAGUUUUAUAUUUUAUUUAUCUCCUUUUAUUCGCCAUGGAGUUAAAAAUCUGUUUUAUUGUGGGUCUGAACAAUAAAAAGACCACAAACAUCUUUCUACAUUUAUAAUAAAUUAAAAGAAAGAUCGUUCCACAGGCUUUUUUUGUCAUUUCCAUCAGUCCCACAUGAGGCUGAUCAUUCCUGAUCAUUCAUAUCACCUAAUAAAACAUUGUCUGAUGUUAAGUGGACACAAUCAUGUCUGGGAUAUUAAAUAUAGAAUUUAUCACCUGGAUAGUCUAUAUACAGACACAAAUAAUAGGCUAAUAAGUAAAUAAUAUAAUAUAAAGGCAUUACCAGGCCCCUGAAUAGGACACAGUUAACAUACAAAUACAGAAUGCAGGUUGUUAUUCAUGUGAAGGUGUUUAUUAAACAGAGAAAACACUUUUUAUUAUUAUUAUUAUUGUUAUUAUUAGUGCAUGUCUACAGCUGUUAAAGUGACUGACAGCUGAUCCAGCUGUGAUCCGCUGCCGCCGUCAUUAGAAUCAGAUGUCGCUUCACAUGACGCUUUGAAAGGAAAGGACGUCUCAAGUCUCUUAAAACAUUUCACAAGUGAAGCAAGUGAAUGUGCAGGGUUUUUUUUUUGUGAUUAUUUUUAUCUUAACUUUAUAAGUUGUUUUCUUUUGCACCACUGUGUUUCAGAUUGUCUUAUAAAGUGAUGACAUGGCCUUUUUCAUUUCCAUCUUAAGCAUUUACUUUACUAAGUCUAAUUUCCUUUAUUUCAUUUAAUGCUAUAUUGUGAGUUACCAGAGACAAUUUCACACUUCAUUGCCUUAUCUGUAAAAAUAAAUUAGCUUUGCAUUAAAAACAAAGGUAUCUGACUACUUCACUAA